rnacentral:misc_RNA from 1 species
GAUUGAAGAACGUAGCGAAAUGCGAAAAGUAAUGUGAAUUGCAGAAUUCAGUGAAUCAUCGAAUCUUUGAACGCACAUUGCGCCCGCUGGUACUCCGGCGGGCACGCCUGUCCGAGCGUCAUUUCAACCCUCAAGCCCUCCUUCGGGAUGGGCCUGGUGUUGGGGCUCGGCCGCCAUCUCCGGCGGCCGUCCCCUAAAUACAGUGGCGGUCACGUCGCGACUCCUUUGCGUAGUAGAAACACCUCGCUCCGGAUAGCAACGCGGUCCACGCCGUAAAACCACCAAUUUUCAAUGGUUGACCUCGGAUCAGGUGGGAAUACCCGCUGAACUUAAGCAUAUCAAUAAGCGGAGGA